ACGAACGCUGGCGGCGUGCUUCACCCCUGCAAGUCGAACGGUGAAGCGCCUUCCUUUUUGGUGGGUGUGGAUGAGUGGCGCACGGGUGAGUAACACGUGAGUAACCUGCCCCCUUCUUCUGGAUAACCGCAUGAAAGUGUGGCUAAUACGGGAUAUUCUGGGUCUGUCGCAUGAUGGGUCUGGGAAAGAUAUUGUUUCGGUGGGGGAUGGGCUCGCGGCCUAUCAGCUUGUUGGUGGGGUGAUGGCCUACCAAGGCGGUGACGGGUAGCCGGCCUGAGAGGGUGGACGGUCACACUGGGAAUGAGACACGGCCCAGACUCCUACGGGAGGCAGCAGUGGGGAAUAGUGCACAAUGGGCGCAAGCCUGAUGCAGCGACGCCGCGGGAGGGAUGGAGGCCUUCGGGUUGUGAACCUCUUUCGCCAGUGAAGCAGGCCUGCCUCGUUUGUGGGUGGGUUGACGGUAGCUGGAUAAGAAGCGCCGGCUAACUACGUG
rnacentral:rRNA from 1 species